AUGUAGCCUGGUGGAAGGCAGU
rnacentral:tRNA from 1 species